rnacentral:rRNA from 1 species
CCUACGGGCGGCAGCAGUGGGGAAUAUUGCACAAUGGGGGAAACCCUGAUGCAGCGACGCCGCGUGAGCGAUGAAGUAUUUCGGUAUGUAAAGCUCUAUCAGCAGGGAAGAAGAUGACGGUACCUGACUAAGAAGCCCCGGCUAACUACGUGCCAGCAGCCGCGGUAAUACGUAGGUGGCGAGCGUUGUCCGGAUUUACUGGGCGUAAAGGGAGCGUAGGCGGACUUUUAAGUGAGAUGUGAAAUACUCGGGCUGAACUUGAGUGCUGCAUUUCAAACUGGAAGUCUAGAGUGCAGGAGAGGAGAAUGGAAUUCCUAGUGUAGCGGUGAAAUGCGUAGAUAUUAGGAGGAACACCAGUGGCGAAGGCGGCCUGCUGGGCUUUUACUGACGCUGAGGCUCGAAAGUGUGGGGAGCAAACAGGAUUAGAUACCCCAGUAGUC